AUAGCGAAAGCUAGUUGCAUUAAAUUCGAUUAAUUCGAAGUUAUUGCAGCAUCGACUAUGUCGAAUAAAGUUCUAGGUAGAGUUAUGAUAAUGACAUUUUCUAUCUAUGUGUCUUGACCAAAUCACGUGCCAGCAGUCGCGGUAAUACGUGGAAGACUAGUGUUAUUCAUCUUUAAUAGGUUUAAAGGGUACUUAGACGGUAUUUUUAGCAAAUAAAAACAAAGGGUACUAAUUAUACUAGAGUUUUAUGAGUGGGGGGUGCGUACGAAUGGUGUAGAGAUGAAAUUCUGUCAUACCAUUAUGACAGGCGACGGCGAAAGCAACCUUUAGUUAAAAACUGACGUUAAAGGACGAAGGCUUUGUAUCACCAACAGGAUUAGAUACCCAAGCAGUCUAAGCAGACAAUUAUGAAUGCCAUAGAUAAGAAAUCCAUAGAUAAAGAAAGAAGAAAACAUGUACUUUUCAGAAUGCCCUUUUUGGGCAUUGGUUUAUUAAAACCAAAAUAAACUUCUCCUCUUCACUUCUUCAUUUAUUGAAGAAAGAGAGAAGUCGAGAUGAAAAAAAUGGCUCGUAAUCUUAUCUAUCAUCAUCAUCUUUCAGAUGAUGAAGAAUACAUUUCUUUUAGACAUCGACUAUGUCGAAGUUAACAAAAAAAGAAAUAGGAUGUAUUUUUGUCUAUAAAUGAAAGUGUAAGCAUUCCACCUCAAGAGUAAAGUGGCAACGCACAAACUGAAAUCAUUAGACCGUUUCUGAAACCAGUAGUGAAGUAUGUUGUUUAAUUUGAUGGUCCGCAAAAAACCUUACCACAAUUUGUAUAUUAUUAGCUUAAUACAAGAGUUGCACGGCUGUCUUCAGUUAAUGUCGUGAGAUUUUGGUUAGUUCCAUAAAAUUAACGUAAACCCUUACUUUAUUUAUAUUAUAAAGUAGUUCACCACUAUAUGGAUAUGAUA
rnacentral:rRNA from 1 species